UAUUUUGCCAUGUAUUUACCUGAGUGCUGAUGGUGAUGGCAGGUGGUAAUGGCCAUCCCAGCUACUUCUGCAGCAGAAUCUCACAAAGAGACUCAUGAUGACCAUGGACUGUGGUAUCCAGGGGAAAGCAAAAACAUCAUAGAAUGCUCACUGUUCAGAAGAGGAAAAGGCAGAGGUGUGGCCAAUCCCUACCACAGCCCUCCUCUGAGAUUCUACAAGAAAAUAUGGUUGAAGAAUAGAGAACUGAGACUGAACAAUUAACAGAUGCUUUUAAGAUG